UUAUCAUUGUCGCAUCAUGAUUGUUUUGAUGUCUGAUCAUUUGGAUUUUUGUUCCUGGGAGUGCCUUACUCAUUUCCAUGGUGGGGCACACUCAGAUGGUGGAGGGGUCGAGGGAAGGCACCAACAAAGAGCUGCUCUUGGCAGAUGGUACAGGAACAUGGCUGUGAGAAUGUGCUACCCUCAUGGUCCCCUGCUGACCCUCUACACUGUGCUUCUGGACCUUGUGGGAACAGAGCUCUAGCUGUGUUUACAGGAUGGCUUCAGCCCAAUCUACAUGUGUGUGCAUGGCACAGGACAUAUUUGCACACUUACACAGUAGGUUUGUGCCAAAAGUAGAGGAAGGCUUGAGAUUUGUGCUAAAUCAGGCACCCAGCACAGUCUUUUCUGAGUUAAGACAGUAAUUGGCAGUCAAUAUUGAAAAUAUUAAGAUAAAUUUUUCUUCAUUUUUGUGAUAUAUCUAACUAGUCACACGUAAACUUUGAUCUUACAGAGGAUUUUCAUAAUUUUGUCAUCUGAAAUAUAUUUCUCUUUGAAAAUAUAGUAAGACCUUCAGUCAGAAUAAGGCAAACUGCAGAAGUGAAAGCCGUCAGCUCUACUAAAGUGUAGAUGGUAAACAAAAAUACAGAUACAAAACAGAAAUAUGUACAUUCUUUAAAGGUUUACUUUGUUAUUUCAGUUGACAUUUUACUGAAUGUCACUGAGAGUGAAUAAACAAGCUAAUGAGGUUUUAGCUAAAUCUCUG
rnacentral:lncRNA from 1 species